CAAUGCAGACGCUUAUUUAGGAGCCCUAGGAUUUUAUUCCGGGCCAAUCGGCAGUUGUAGGAUCGAUCCCGGACGAUGGACGCUUAUUUUCGAGAGGCGGCGCAACGUUUUGCGUCUAGCGCUUCCUCAGAUUAUUUCUUACUCCACAAAAAACGGAUCUACCAGUUAAGAGAAAUAGGCGCCUGAUAUUUGAGAGAAGCCUUGGAGUGGCUGGACUCUUUCCUGAACGCUAGGAUUAAUUGAUCAAUUGUUUUUCACUCAAGCCUCUAUACAAGCGUUCCGCGCUGACAUGCCCUUAAUGUCACCGCUAUUUUUUCAUAUUGUGAAGCAUUUCUAAGAUUAGUAUUGUGCAUAGCUUGCAGCAGGGAUUCAAGCUAUGGCCUCUGUGUUGGACUCACGACUGGAAGAACAUUGCGGUGGGGCAUGGCGGAUGACCUCACCGACGCGGCUCUCUUUGGGCAAUGCAUCUCACGAGCCAGGAUCAGAUUGUGUCGUGCUGUCUGCCGCCCGAACGUACUAACGGUGUAUGAGGCGUGGAAUCAACUGGAGAAGCUAGGUUGUCGUUCGCCUUCAUCGGUCCUCAUGCUGCCAACCACCGCCCAAGGUUGCCGCCGCUUCAGGGGCGGAGCUGGAGGAAAUUCUUCCCUGAUGCAUGUUUAACCUUGCAACUUUGCUACAAGUUGAAACUGUUCCUCCAUGAUGCACUUUUUUAAGUUUAACCUGAUGCACUUACCUAUUAAUCCCAUAAAUAAUGCUAAAUUUUUCUUUUCACCCUGAUGCAUGUGCAUCAGGGUCACUCCAAACAGCUCCGCCCCUACCGCCGCCAUGCCGUGACGCUGAACGCGCACAACUUGCUGUGACAUGAGGCCAUGGUGGUCGCAGCAAGAGAGAGAGAGAGUUCAGGCGGCAAACAAGAAGAAGCUCAGCACCCUUGUCACGCUAACAGUUUGUAUGAUUUCUAGAGAAAGAAAUGGCCAGUGUCUUCAGGAACGAACACAAACAUAUUCAGCACAUUAUCACUCAGAUAGAAAACUGACGCUAUGCAUUGGACUUGAACCAGAGCAAGCGAUGGUUGUUUUGUUCUGCUA